rnacentral:misc_RNA from 1 species
CAACAGACCACAGUUGAAUCACAAGCCACUCAUUGUGCAAUGCACAAGUCAAUGUAUAAGCAGCACACAAGUCAGCACCAUGUCAAUGGUGAAGUUCGGGAUGGCUAUCAAUGCAGCGGCCUUGAGCUUGUAGGAGCCAGCAGAGGCUCAGAGUUUGAUUAUUUCAGAGAGCAGAAAUCCAGUGCUUGAUUAAUGGGUUCUGCAGCACCAGCAUUCACUCAUCGGUAGCUGGCUUCUCCUCCUUCAUUGCGAGAACACACAUACAACACACAAGCACCAUAUUCACAACAUACUGCCCAGACCAGCCACCACUCCAUCAAUACACAUGGAAUGUAUUGCAAACACAUUCAUCAUCUCCAUGAAAUAUCACAACACAUCACAUACAUUUCUACAACACACACAAACA